UUGGUGUGAUGUAUUAAUAUAUAGAUAGAUAGAUGAAAAUAUUAAAUCGAGACAAUUUAUACGUUUCACGACCAAUCAACACAAAACGCUGCAUGUGUUUCCGGAUUACAGAAUAGCCGUCUUUAUACGUAAAUGAACCAAUUGUGUUCGAUUUCAAAGUGUUACAUUUUAGGUUUGGCGUACCCUGUUGAUGCACCAGGUAUAACUUCUUACAGAGAUUAUACGAUUCCAGAAUAUAUAUUUAACUUUGAUUUAUACUGUUAUUCAACGCCCCGGUUCUUUGUAAGUUUUUUUUAUUAGUUUUUCUCUCCUUUUUUUUUUUUUUUGCUUUAUCAGUUGUGUCAUGUUUGAUAACCUUUUAUUUCUGGUCGACCAUAAUGUACCAUCAUUUUGAUUUGACAAUUUGUAGAGGAGGUACUGUUCUUUUAGUGUUUUCAUAAUCCUAUCAAAAUCACUACUUGUGAACUCAUUACCGGAACUAUUUUGAGACUUUGAUAGGAAAUAUUCACAAUUGGUAGGAAUGAUUGUUAGUGUCUAGUUGACCAAACUUCACCAGCAUGUUGUUAAAUAAUUUGUGCAGAUUUAUUAUGGGGCUUUGAUCAAAGUUUUGUUUUUGACUAUUUGCACAAUAAUAAUUCGGGAACACCACUCUUCUACGAUCAUACGGCACACAGUGACAUAUAAGAUAGAAAUAUUUUGUCGUCAAAUGUGUCGUUUCCGCAUUUGUUUUACCUAUCUUACGAACACAAUAAUACUCUGUGAACACAAUUCCUCUGAUAAUAUUUCAGAAAGCCUUCAUACUCAUAAUUAUGAUAGAAUUGCUUGAAAUAAUGUGUAGUUGUCCUUUUGAUCUGAUUUUCUGUAAUAGCUAUUUGGAUUUCACUGUUUUUGUCACUAUUUUUUCAUUACAUAUU
rnacentral:lncRNA from 1 species